GAUGAACGCUGGCGGCGUGCCUAAUACAUGCAAGUCGAGCGAAUGGAUUAAGAGCUUGCCCUUAUGACGUUAGCGGCGGACGGGUGAGUAACACGGGGGUAACCUGCCCAUAAGACUAGGAUAACUCCGGGAAACCGGGGCCAAUACCGGAUAACAUUUUGAACCGAAUGGUUCGAAAUUGAAAGUCGGCUUGGGCUGUCACUUAUGGAUGGACCCGCGUCGCAUUAGCUAGUUGGUGAGGUAACGGCUCACCAAGGCAACGAUGCGUAGCCGACCUGAGAGGGUGAUCGGCCACACUGGGACUGAGACACGGCCCAGACUCCUACGGGAGGCAGCAGUAGGGAAUCUUCCGCAAUGGACGAAAGUCUGACGGAGCAACGCCGCGUGAGUGAUGAAGGCUUUCGGGUCGUAAAACUCUGUUGUUAGGGAAGAACAAGUGCUAGUUGAAUAAGCUGGCACCUUGACGGUACCUAACCAGAAAGCCACGGCUAACUACGUGCCAGCCGCCGCAGUAA
rnacentral:rRNA from 1 species